rnacentral:rRNA from 1 species
AUAUUAUUAAGCGGAGGAAAAGAAACUAACUAGGAUGCCCUCAGUAACGGCGAGUGAAGCGGGCAAAGCUCAACCUGAAAAUCGAUCAUCCACACGGGUGUAUCGAAUUGUGGGCUAGAGACGCAUGAUCAGUGUGUGACCCAGGUAUAACUCUUUUGAAACAAAGGAUCAUAGAGGGUGAGAAUCCCGUCUGUGACCUGGAGCUUGCCGCGUACGAUCUGCGUUCAUAGAGUCGAGUUGUUUGGGAUUGCAGCUCUAAAUGGGUGGUAAAUUUCAUCUAAAGCUAAAUAUUGGCGGGAGACCGAUAGCGCACAAGUA